UUUAUAUUUAAUAUUGUGCAAUAGAAGUGAUGUGGCUGAUGUCAAAUCUAAAUUGAGUUUCCAAGAAGAGUGUCUAUUCAUUGUGCGUUUGCUUCUAGCUGAAUUUUGAAGUAAGUUUUCUCUCUUUCAUAUUUGUACUUCAUUUUAAUGGUGAAGGCAAUUUAUAAAAAUAAUGCAUAAUCAAACCUAUCAAGGUAGAACAACCUUUAGCCCACUAAUUUAAAUUUCUUUGAUAACAAACAAACAAAAACACCCUGUCCUUCCAUGGCUAAACUACAAAGCAUCCUUUACUCAGAUUGUGAAAUAAUAAAAUUACAUAAUUUAUAUAUAUAAAUGUUAAAAAGCAUUUCUAAAUUGCUUCCAGG
rnacentral:lncRNA from 1 species